AAAGCAGAACGUGCUGUCAUUUUUUAUUCUGACUUCUCUAUUUUGAUCAGAGCAGUGUAUCACAAGUGUAGGACUGAGGAUCUUCUGGAUCUUCUGCUAUCAGCUGUGUUUAAAGAGUGAUGCUGCCAUGUCUCCCCAAAGAUCAGCACAUAUCACAGCAGCAGUGAUCCUCAUUUUACUGGCAGGCCACCAAAUACCAGCUUCAUCUAGAAAUACAGGUAAAUAAACGCACACCCCAGCCCACACACAAUAAACUAAGAUUCUGUAAAAAAAAAAAAAAAAGCAAGUGUGUGUGUGUGUGUGUGUGUGUAGUCCAACAGGUUGUAGGACAGAGUGUGGUGAAACUGACCUGUAGCUCUACCUGCAGCUCCAGUGGAAACUGUUACUACAGAUGGUACGAUGGUUCCUGGUCGAGCAAUUACUUGGGCUGUUCAUCUAGUGCCACAGUUUGGAUCGACUCCACCAGUUCAUCUAAUAAGAAAGGAUACUCCUGUUAUGUCAAUAACAAAGUCCAGCCUCCUUCAGACUGUAAGUACAGCGGUGGUCUGUCUCUCAGUAAAGAGAAUCAUUCAGGAUGUUUAGAACCAGGAACUCGGGUUCUACUUUAGAAUUAUGAGGUUCCUCUUUUGAACAGUCCAGUUCUGAAAAACCAAGUAAGAUUUUACUUCUGUAAAAAAACAAUUUCCAAGAUCAGCUCUUGCUCAUUCAGGAGGCUUCAGGAAUCCUGGUUCUUGUGCUGCAUGAUUUAUUUAGAAAGCCCAGAGAGGUUUAGUGCAGAUACACAGAUAAAUCAACUAUAAAAUUACUGAAAAAUUCCCCCCAAAUUAUAUUUAUACUUAGCACAGAGAUUUGAUUAGCUAUACACAAGCUAAUAAAACUUAAUAUAAGUAUUUAUUGUGUUAUACU
rnacentral:lncRNA from 1 species